rnacentral:lncRNA from 1 species
CUAACUUAUUCUUUGUUUUUUUUUUUCAAUCUCUAAACAAUUAAUCUGUAAAUUUUGAUAAAAAUCUAUUGGUUACAUUAAAAAGCAAUUGUCGAAAAUAACCAAGUAUAUAUUUGAUUUGUUUUGAUAAAAGAAAAAAAGAAAAAAAGAAAACAUGUGAAAUGGCAAAAAAAAAAGUUAAAAAUAAUUGAUAUAAUUUUUUUUAUUAAAU